AUUGAACGCUGGCGGCAUGCCUUACACAUGCAAGUCGAACGGCAGCACGGGAGCAAUCCUGGUGGCGAGUGGCGAACGGGUGAGUAAUAUAUCGGAACGUGCCCAGUCGUGGGGGAUAACGUAGCGAAAGCUACGCUAAUACCGCAUACGAUCUAUGGAUGAAAGCGGGGGAUCGCAAGACCUCGCGCGAUUGGAGCGGCCGAUAUCAGAUUAGGUAGUUGGUGAGGUAAAGGCUCACCAAGCCGACGAUCUGUAGCUGGUCUGAGAGGACGACCAGCCACACUGGGACUGAGACACGGCCCAGACUCCUACGGGAGGCAGCAGUGGGGAAUUUUUGGACAAUGGGCGGCAAGCCUGAUCCAGCAAUGCCGCGUGCAGGAUG
rnacentral:rRNA from 1 species